rnacentral:rRNA from 1 species
AGGAUGAACGCUGGCGGCGUGCCUAACACAUGCAAGUCGAACGUCCUGUCUCGCAAGAGGCAGGGAGUGGCGGACGGGUGAGUACCACGUGGGUUAUCUACCGUGAGGUGAGGAAUACCGGCGAGAAAUCGCCGACAAGACCGCAUAGGCUCGAUGCAAGUCGAGCAAAGCUCUUUCGAGAGAGGGAGCGCCACACGAGGAGCCUGCGCCCGAUUAGCUAGCUGGUGGAGUAACGGUUCACCAGGGCGACGAUCGGUAGCUGGUCUGAGAGGACGAUCAGCCACACUGGGAUUGAGAACGGCCCAGACUCCUACGGGGGGCAGCAGUGAGGAAUUUUCGGCAAUGGGGGAAACCCUGACCGAGCAACGCCGCGUGCAGGAAGACGGCCUUCGGGUUGUAAACUGCUUUUCUUUGGGACGAGAACGGACGGUACCAGAGGAAUCAGCCCGGCUCACUACGUGCCAGCAGCCGC